rnacentral:rRNA from 1 species
CGACUCUCGGCAACGGAUAUCUCGGCUCUUGCAUCGAUGAAGAACGUAGCGAAAUGCGAUACUUGGUGUGAAUUGCAGAAUCCCGUGAACCAUCGAGUCUUUGAACGCAAGUUGCGCCCGAAGCCAUUAGGCUGAGGGCACGCCUGCCUGGGUGUUGCACA